rnacentral:lncRNA from 1 species
UUGUACUCGAUGCCAAAAUUUAACCUCAUGAGUUGAAACCUGCAGAAGCACAUUGAGGAUAAUGAAGAACCACUUGACCGGCACAAGAAGGUGGGACUAAGUCACCACUGGAAGCUCCCAGGUACCUUCUCAUGACACCAGCAGGUACCAGAAAUGAAGCCUCUGCCCAACGGGUGACAAACCAGCAUCAUUUCCCUGUGGCACAGCUCGGCUGGAGCCCCCAUGGUACUGCAGCAGGAGACAGAAGACAUUGUGGAAGCUGCAGAGCACUGUGAACCCUUGUUAAAUGGGAUGAAGCCAUCAAUCCUGCAGGAACAAGGACUGUUGCAGCAUGUGCUCAGAUGGAUUCCCUUUCUGGGCAGUUGAUGUAACAUUUAGAAGUUUCUGCAGUUUGAAACACAGAAGCAAGAAGGUCCUUGGUCAGGUCAGCUAAACCUGGCAAUACAUGGCUCCAAGAGGGAAUACAAGCACUGUAAGGAAGAGCCCUGGGAAGCUGGUCCUGGAAGAGUGGACAAGCUCAUGUGUGCGCAUUCAAGUGUUGGGGAUCAGGAGCCAGGCUGGUCACAGCAAACAAGGCAUUGCAGAUACAGGGAUCAGUUUAAAUGUCAGAGUAAGUUUCACCCUUGGGAUCUCUGUUAAACGUUUCUCCUGAGCAACUGCAAAGACAUUUCUCACAGCUGUUGUGUGGACUGACUGAAACUCUCCUGGCACCUGCAUAUUCCACAAGAAGUGUUUUACAAGGGAAGUAUGACUGGCUCAGAAUUCCCCAUUUUGAAUUGCAAUGGAAAAUUACUUGUAACAUCUGCCUACAGCGGCACUGCAGAGGCUUCUGAGGAGGAAGAUGGAUGGUGCGGUGACAUGAUGGGAAUGACAACCACACACACAUGCAAAUAAGCAGCUCGAGUGCCAAUCCCCUUCAGCAGUUUGUUUUCAAAAGGCUUCCCUGCUCCUGUGAUGGGCCAGGACCUGCUUUUCUCCUGGCACUACUCCACAACACUGUUGCUUACAGUAAUUCUACAAAAGGGAACUUCCACCAGAGACCAGCGUUGGAGGUUUUGGUUAUACACAGACAGUGCAAGAUGUUCUCCAGCCCCACACUGAAGAGGUUUCACACGCUCCCCGGAACAGCUUUCACUCCACAAGAGGCAAGAACUCUUCUUCUGGUAAUUUUAAUGUAG